CCCCUGCUUUGGCCACUCAUUCGGCGAAAAUUAAUGGUGGUGUUCGGUUCUACGUCGCGCAAGGCAGUCUCUAGAGUCUCGCAGAGCUAAGAAUACAUCUUAGAAAAUCGGCAAAAAAUAUCCAAGUUCAGCCAAGUUUGCGGUGUGUAGGCAAGUCAUCAAAAAGUAACGACCGAAAUAACGGCAGUUGUCGCAUAGCAAAUGCCAAUUGCAAAUUGCGAGUAAAAAUCGCAAAUUAAAGUGUGCGCAGGCGAAUAAAGAAACAAAGAAACACAAUUAACAAACGUGAAGUAACAAUCCGGCAAAGCGAAUAAACCCGAUAUCGAUUCCGAUCUGCAGCAGAAAAACGUGAGCUCCUUUCCUCUGCUGCUUUUUCCCAAGCGGUGUAUUGUGUUCUGUGUUAUGUACGUGUCCAUGCAUUGAAUUCUGUGCCAGCGAUUUUUGAAUACAUCUCCCGUUUUGUCUUAGGCACCCAACAAAUGUACAUCUCUAAAUGCAUAAGCUAAGCAACAGUAUUUUUGCUCAACAAUAAAUAUACGAAAACAUUGAACACGUGAAUACAAGAAAUAUUUUCGUAGCCGUGAUUAUUUGUUGCAUUUGAAUGAUAACUUUGAAGAUACGAGCAGCAGAGAGAACGCAUCGAGCUUAAGCCAACAACGUAGUACGACUAGUAAAAGACACCACCAAUUUAAGUUUAUCUAGAAAAAAAAAUACGCAUACGCAAGCAAAGUAGCCAAAAUAUCUAUAUGUUUAGUACGUGUAUUGGUCAUUUAUGAUUGAUAUACUCGCAUAGCAAAGUUAUAUUUACAAAACCCACAACAUAAUCGGAAGAGGAUCCCGCAAAAGGCAAUUGCAGCGAUACAGACCGCCGAGUACGGUCAGAUCCACAUACAUUUUCAUCCAAAUCGCGUUAAGACAAAGCCGGCAAAAUAGAUACCAUGGAAGACAAUAACACGAGCAGCAGUGCGGGCGGUGCGUCCAUCAAACACGAGGAUCCUUCGGUGACACUCACAAUAAGGCUGAUUAUGCAAG